GGGCGUCAUGCAGUGCUUAACCCCGGGGUGCGGGCAUUCAAGGAGUGGGCAGUUCAGCCGGCGGUGGGCACUGUUGGCCCCCAGACAUUUCUCAGUGGAAACAGCAUCCUGAGGAAGUGAGUCUGUGUGGGACUCACUCGUGCCUUGUUCUUCCCAGCUCUUCCACAUCACUGUGCAUUCAUGCGGCAGAGACACGCCAGGCCAAGCGUUUUGGUUAUCUGUUGCUGUAUAAAAACGCCACCCCUAAACCUCAAAAGCAUGUUGCCAAGUGAAAGAAGCCAAUCUGCAAAGGCCACAUACAGUAUGAUCUCCACUAUGUGACAUUCUGGAAAAGGCGAGCCUACGGAGACAGUAAGAAGAUCAGUGAUUGUCAGGGCCUCGGGGGCAGGGACGGAGGAAGGCCAGCACAGUGCAGCCAGGGAUGCUCCCAGACCAUUUUUCUUCGUGGCGUGGCACUGCAUCCUUCCAGACAGUGAAGACGCUCAGACAGGUGGGUGCCGGGGCUGAGGGCAGGAGGAGGACAGGAAUGCCCAGCGGGGUAGCCUGUGCGGGCUACUGUGUGGGGAACACCGGGCCGCGCGGCCGUGUGGCCUCCCCCGGAGGACACGCCGUGGCCGGGGUGCUGUGGCCGAGUCCCCGACCACGGGCAUGCCCGGCGACGUGAGGGCGCGGACAGAGCAAGGGCUGCACGCGGCUCUGCCCUCGCGGACCCCACGCCAGCCCGGCGGCGCCGUGAAGACCCACCCGGAGCAGGGUCUGCGAGGGCCGUGGAACAUCCAGCGACGUUCGUGCCGUAGAAGGGAGGGACACCAGGCGGAGCUGGCGUGAGAGAACCCGUGGCCGCAGGGCUGGGAAGAGCCAGGCCGUGCUGAUCGCACGGGCUCCUUUCAGGACAGAGGGGCUGCGAGACGCUCAAGGGAGGGACGGGGACGGGAGAGGAGACGGGGAGGGUGGUCCAAUGGGGGACUCUAAGGAACGUCGUGAAGAGACAGUUCGACAUGAGGCGCUGUCCAAAGCGAGCCUCCUUCCCCAGGGCCUUAGGGGCCAGGAAAGAACCCUGAAGGAAGGGCUGGGACCGCAGUGGCCAGGGCUUGUGGAAGACUUAGCUGGCAGGUGAGGGACAGCCCUGAGGGCAGCUCGAGGGGCAGCACGCGCCCCGCUGAUUGAAUGCGGCCACCAGCCACGCCCCGGGGCUUUGCACCCGCACAGCUCCCAGCCUGUGUGACAGUGGAGUCAGGGCAGGCUGUCGCUGGUACUAAGAAAAGAAAAGGGACCAUAAAUCCCACCCCAGACCUUGUUUUUGGAAAGGAAGCCUUUCCUUAUCCUUUUUCUGAGUGGUAGUAGCCAAUUUUAGCCAAAAUAAACUACUUAGGAAUUAA